GACGAACGCUGGCGGCGUGCUUAACACAUGCAAGUCGAACGGAGUGGCGAACGGGUGAGUAACACGUGGGUGACCUGCCCUGCACUUCGGGAUAAGCCUGGGGAACUGGGUCUAAUACCGGAUAGUGUGUGAUGGGCCCGCGGCAUAUUAGCGGGUUGGUGGGGUAAUAGCCUACCAAGGCGGCGACGGGUAGCCGGCCUGAGAGGGGGGACGGGCACAUUGGGACUGAGACACGGCCCAGAAGCCUACGGGAGGCAGCAGUGGGGAAUAUUGCACAAUCGGCGGAAGUGUGAUGCAGCGACGCCGCGUGGGGGAUGACGGCCUUCGGGUUGUAAACUCCUUUCACCAUCGACGCGGUAGAUGGAGAAGAAGCAACGGCUAACUCCGUGCCAGCAGCCGCGGUAAUUC
rnacentral:rRNA from 1 species